rnacentral:rRNA from 1 species
UACGAAGGGGGCAAGCGUUGUUCGGAUUUACUGGGCGUAAAGCGCACGCAGGCGGUUUGGUCAGUUAGGGGUGAAAUCCUGGAGCUCAACUCCAGAACUGCCUUUAAUACUGCCAGUCUCGAGUCCGGAAGAGGUAAGUGGAACUCCUAGUGUAGAGGUGAAAUUCGUAGAUAUUAGGAAGAACACCAGUGGCGAAGGCGGCUUACUGGUCCGGUACUGACGCUGAGGUGCGAAAGCGUGGGGAGCAAACAGG